GAUGUGGAAUGGACAUGAGCGACACAUCUCAAAGAACACCACUUACGUAAUGUAACCAUCUUUUCUUUUUUGAGUGCUUGCUCAUGUCCAUUACUUUGUAGGUGACUCCCAAGCAGUACCACCAGAAGCAGGUCGGAGUUCAUGGAAGUGUCGAUAGCAACACAACUCUGCAGAAGCCAGCGUCAUUUCUGGCCUGCUGACUGAUGGCAUAAUGAGACGUGAACCUGUGCACAGAGGACCACGUUGCAGCCCUGCAUAUGUCCUGGAUAGGGACUUGCGCCAGCAAAGCAGCCAAAGAAGCUUGCACCCUUCUCGAAUUAGCCUUCGCUAUUGGAGGAGGCACAGUUGGCGCCAUCUCAUAACAGAUACGGAUGCACAUGGUGAUCCGGAUUGAAAUCCUCUGUGAGGACACCAGACCCUUCAUCCUGUCAGCUAUCACAAUACAGAGCUGAGUCAAUCUACGGAAGGGAUUGGUGCGCUCUAAGUAGAAAGCCAGUGCCAUGCCUGACAUCUAGAGUAUGCAGACACCUCUCCUCGCUGGUCGAGUGAACCUUUGGACAGAACACUGGAAGAAAAAUAUCCUAGUUGACAUGGAAGUGCGAUACCACUAUAGGCAGAAAGGUUGGGUGGGGCUGCAGCUGAACCUUGUAAUUGUAGAACACUGUGUACAGGGGCUCCGAAGUAAGAGCUCUAAUCUCAGACACUCGUCUCACUGUGGUAAUAACUACAAGAAAUAUGACCUUCCACAACAAGAAGCCAAAUGCUCAGAGGGCAGGCCCAUGAGCCUGGAGAGGACCCGGUUGAGGUCCCAUUGGGAGAUGGGGUCCCAGGCCAGGACCACCUGAAAGAGUCUUUCAAGGCCUUUCAGGAACCUAAUAGUCAUGUCAUGUGAGAAUACUGAUCUACCCUGGAGACGAGGGUGAAAGGCUGAUAUAGCCACCAGAUAAACCUUGAUCUAAGAGAAGGUGAGGCCCUGGUGCUUUAAGUGAAGCAGGUAAUCCAGAAUGGACGGCAGAGAUGACUGGUUGGCAGAGAUACCCUGCUCCAGCAGGAGAAAUGCUUCCACUUUGCCAGGUAAGUUGCUCUGGUUGAGAGCUUCCUGCUCUCCAAGAGAACUUGCUGUACCUGACUAGAGCAGGCUUGCUCCUCUGGAUUCAACCAUGAAGCAUCCAAGCUGUGAGGUGGAGUGAGGUUUGGUUUGCAUGCAACAGCUGACCAUGAUCUUGCAAGAGCAGGUCUGGGCGGCUGGGAAGCACCCACGGGGCUGCUACAGCCAGGUCCAUGAGCAUGCCAAACCAACGCUGGCGAGGCCAUGCUGGGGCAAAUCAAUGUCCUGUGCCUUGUCCCUCUUAUGUUUAAGAGAACUUUGCUGAUGAGCGGGAUUGGCAGGAAGGCGUACAUCAGGUCUCCUUACCAAGGCAAGAGAAAGGCAUCAGAAAGAGCCUCUGCUGAGGCCUUGCAGGGAGCAGAACUGAUGACACUUUCUAUUCUGUCUGGUGGUGGACAGGUCUACUCGAGGAGCUCCCCACUUCUGGAAGAGCAUCCUGAUAUCACAAGUGGUCCCGCCACUGGGAGGUUGAGAGAAGGACGUGCUGAGGCGAUCUGUCAGUGUGUUCUGGAUGCAGGGGAGGUGCGAGGUUCCAGGCUCAGAGCUUGACAGGUAGCUUACAAUGUCUCGAUGCUGCACUGGACCUGGACUCUGGAGCGCCCUUUAUGAGCCAGUUGUCGAGGUAUGGGUAGAUCUCGCUAACCCGAUAUCUGAGACCUCUGUUGGGGAUCUGUACCGGGAUGAUUGCUCUUGGUGCUGUAACUCUGGUGACCGGCGACAGCAUUCAGAGGAUCAGCAAUGGUACCCCAGUGAUUGAUGCCUUACGCUUUGAGAAAGGUGUCACUCCGUAGACUGGGAGCAGCAACGGGAGCGAAAGGAUUGACGUCUCAGAAACCAUUGAUGUGCCAACGGUGAUCGAUACUGGUGAUGCAAAGACCGGUGACGGGGCUCCAGGGACCGGUAUCUUGAUCCUCCAGAAUGGUACCGUGGAACGGGAGAUCGACUUGGAUGCUUCCAGCUCAGGGGAUUGGUGAUGCGUCUCUGCAGGUCUGCACCCAACCGCCGGCAAUCAAUGCCAGGACCCCGAGAAACACUGCCUAGAGUCCAGGGACUGAUGCCGGGAACUCUGGCAGCUAAGCUGACCUGCAUCUGGGGGCUGACGGUGCUGUUCAGGUGAGAGCUGGCAGGGCAUCCCCUACGACGGGAAGCGGUGCCGCACUGAUGGAGACCGCUGGGAAGAUCCCAGGGCAGGUUUACCGCUCGAACGGGGCACCUCACUGGCUAGCAUGGGUGGCACCAGAAGGGACAAUAUGUCCUUAAUGGCUUGAAAGGCCUCUGAUGUGGACAGCACCGCCAGGUGCCGAGUGCCUCUGCCGCUUUCUAGCGUGGCGGGUGGGUCUUGAAGCAAGCUCGACAGCUAAAACAGGAGCUGGAGACUGGCCACCAUCCAAAGCAGAAGAGCUGCCCCAUGCAGAUCUUUGCUCUCCUCCGGCUUUCUCCUUCCCUUUACGAGAUGUAGAAGAAUGCCUUCUCCCAGCCUCUCUCUGCUUUUUAGCUGGUACCGGGUGUGACAGGUUCUCCCCGGGGUGCCAUGUGGAACUGGGGUACCAUCGAGCCAGCCUGACCCACCAGCCUGGGCUCCUUUUCACAUUGUGGUGCUGUGAUAAGUUGCCAAGCUUGCUCUUUCACCUGCAUACACACAGACAGGGACUCACCCAGCUGCAGCUUCACACAGAUGCUGAGAUCAGCUCUGCAUGGGAAGGCUCAGCUAAGGCAUCUCCCAAUUGCUAAGCCCUGCACCCCCUCUGGAGUGUAAACCCAAAAUUAUAUCAUCUUGCACUGUACAGGGAACUGUACAGCGUAAACUCAUAAAUUUCACCCCCUCCCUUUCUGCCCUAAGUUAUCAUUUCCACACACUGGUUUUAGACAAAACAAAAAACUACAACAAAAGGACAGAUUUUAAGUGACAGCAAACAGAUCAAAGCAGAUUACUUUAGUAAAUAAUCAAAACCGCAAACUGAGUUUAACACAUUAGACAGGUAGGAUAUGAAUUAGCAAAUUCUCACCAAGUGAUAAGCAGGCUGGCAGAUUCUUAAGGCACAAGUAACCUUGGCUUUCCCAGAUUUUCACACACAGGCUAACAAUUCCUCUAGGCUGGAACCAUCACUUCCCACAAUUCAGUCCUUUCCCCUCAGGUGUUUCCAGAUGUGUUGUUGUAGGGAGAGUGAGGUACCAUUGUCCCCCUUUUUAUAUCUUCUCCCCACUUGCUGGAAAGCUCUUUUGCUGUGACUUGGAGUCAAACAGUUCCCAUUGUGUAGUGCGAUCUCUGAGAGGUUUCUAUUAUACACAGUUCCUGGGGUAUUCCUUGUGCUUGUGUGCAUUUCCUCAAUAAACCAUUAACAUUGUUAC